UUCGCCAGCAAACCCUUGAGAUAAAAACUGAAAAGGCAAAUUAUUGGUUCCUUGCAUUUGCACUUUUACUCUUAAAGCUGUAGGUCUCAUAGAUUCCUGCAUGUUCAUGGAGAUGGUUCCCUUCUUCGGAAGCUUUGGUGGAGUUAAACCAGGCGAGAUCGGCCAUCUGCGGAGAAGGGAAGGCCAUCUUCAUUUUGUAUUUCCGUUUGUAUUUGAAUGAUUCAUGUCAUAUUGUAUAAUUGAAGUUCCUAAUGGAGAAGUUGAAUGCUCCGGUUUCUUAGUGUUUCGUUUAGUAGUAUUAAUUUUGCAUAAGUCAUUGAAUAAACUUGAUUCUUGAGGAAUUAGGAAUGGAAAACGGAAUUUGGGAAGCUCAGAUGAAGAGUAAUGGAAUUUAGUGAUCGCGGAACUUAUAAUCUCGCACACGGUGGGAAAAAUCCAUUGAUGGGUUGGACAUCGACACGAGAUCGAUAUGCCAAUGUUGUGAUGCAGGACUCAGUUUUGAUAUUGAAGAAGCUGCAAGGCUUUUGCUGAAAAACAUGUUUGGGAAUAUAUGGUACCUGCCUCUUUAGCCUGUAUUUCUGCUUUAUAUAUGUGCAUGAAUAUGUCUGUCUUUGUAAUCAGUCUCCUUGAGCAAUAUCUUUUUCUCUUGAGAGUUCCUUUGCCUCCUAAUUUUAAGAUCCUCUGAUAAGUAGUCAUGGACAUUGGACUGCUCGAUGUUGUUCCAUUAUAUACAUGAGCUACAAUUUGGAUGUUGUUUUUGUCUUUGUAUGCUGACAUUUUCUUGUCUAAGUUGAAAAACAUCUGUUGUUUUUGUCUUUGUA